UUACGGCCAUGACAAGUUGAAACACCGGUUCCUGUAAGAUCACCGAUGUUAAGCAACGUGGAGACUAGUCAAUUCCUAGAUGGGUGACGUCUUGGGAAUACCAAGUGUUGUA